CUCACACACACACUCACACACACGCAUGUACUUACACAAAUGCACUCACACAUAUGCUUAAACACAGGCAAUUUGCUUAGUUACUGUUCACAAGCCAAACAAGAGUCACUGGACACAAAGUUUGCUGCUCCACACAAUAUACAAACACUACAAAGAUGAGAACCUUGAUGAUAAAUGCAAUGUUAACACACUGAUAAAAAGCCAUCUUCUUAAUUUGUGUGUGUUUCUCUUGUUCUCUUCUGGUGGAAGGCACCCUGAAUAAGGGAGAGUGUGUGUGUGUGUGUGUCUGAUCUCAUAAGGACUGUGGGUCUACCUUACAGGACCCACAUUCUGUGGAAAUGAAUGUUUAGUGACCGGUUUUCAGGUGAAGUUUCAGCAGAGUAAGGCCUAGUCCACACAUACACAGCAAAGUGCGCACUGCAGCGAGGAGCGUGCACACCGGCCCUACUGACCAAUCAUCUCUACGGUUUCUUGACGACGGCGGGGCUUGAUUAUCGGAGUGACACCUACAAUAACCACUCACAGCGGACUGGGGACGAGUCUACUGCAAUUGCGAAUGAGAGGCGCGUCCGACGCCAUUUCGUGAGCGCAGUGCGUUACAACCCAAGCGGCCGCUGCGGCACUGGCGCAUCAUUCAGUUUUUGGUUGUUUUUAAACUUGAGCCUCUGAGGGGAGAGGUGCGCAGUCUGGCGGGGGGGGGAGACAUCCUCAGCUCCGCCCACAAGCCUGUGAAGGAAAGGCAGUGGGAGGAUGAACAGAGAGACGGACAGCCAGCUGCCAGACGAGCGCCCAUCGGCACAGCUGCAGCAGGAACAGUAGGUGAAGAAUCAAGGGAGGGAGGAUGAUGAGGAAGAGGAAGAGUGGGGGGGGAUAAAGACCUCAUAAACAGAGAUGAUGAUUCAUAGAAACGACAAGUGUGACCGACUGUUUAAAGCCUCCC